AUGGAGAGAUAUAGGGAGCAAAAGAAGGACUUGCAUAUGGUGUUCAUUGACUUGGAGAAGGCCUAUGAUAAGAUACCGCGGAAUGUCAUGAGGUGGGCCUUGGAGAAACACAAAGUCCCAGCAAAGUACAUUACGCUCAUCAAGGACAUGUACAAUAAUGUUGUGACAAGUGUUCGAACAAGUGAUGUCGACACUGAUGACUUCCCGAUUAAGAUAGGACUACAUCAGGGGUCAGCUUUGAGCCCUUAUCUUUUUGCAUUGGUGAUGGAUGAGGUCACAAGGGGUAUACAAGGAGAUAUCCCAUGGUGCAUGCUCUUUGCGGAUGAUGUAGUGCUAGUUGAUGAUAGUCGGACGGGGGUAAAUAGGAAGUUAGAGUUAUGGAGACAAACCUUGGAAUUGAAAGGGUUUAGGCUUAGUAGAACUAAAACCGAGCACAUGAUGUGCGGUUUCAGUACUACUAGGUGUGAGGAGGAGGAGGUUAGCCUUGAUGGCCAGGUGGUACCUCGGAAGGACACCUUUCGGUAUUUGGGGUCAAUGUUGCAGGAGGAUGGGGGGAUUGAUGAAGAUGUGAACCAUCGUAUGAAAGCCAGAUGGAUGAAGUGGCGCCAAGCUUCUGGCAUUCUCUAUGACAAGAGAGUGCCACAAAAGCUAAAAGGCAAGUUCUAUAGGAUGGCGGUUCGACCCGCAAUGUUGUAUGGCGCGGAGUGUUGGCCGGCUAAAAGGCGACAUGUUCAACAGUUAGGUGUGGCGGAGAUGCGUAUGUUGAGAUGGAUGUGUGGCCACACGAGGAAGGAUCGAGUCCGGAAUGAUGAUAUACGAGAUGGAGUUGGGGUAGUACCAAUUGAGGAGAAGCUUGUCCAACAUCGUUGA
rnacentral:rRNA from 1 species